AACUGUCGGAGUCUUGGCGACGGUAUCAACGAAGAUGCGGACGCGAUCGGGGCGAAUGUCCAGGGUCACAGGUGAACCAACAGGCAGCACCUGAAUGUACGCGUUGGGCAUGUCUUUCAGAAUGAUCUCCGUCGCCUCCUUGAUGGACAUGCCCAGCACCUCGGGCCAUGAUGUCUUCUUCUCGCCGCUGGUAACAUCCAUGACAAUGGAACUCAUCUUUGAUGAUGGAUUAUAUUAUUCAGUCGAUCUACAUGCACAAAAAUAUGAACAUACAGAAGGAGGGGAAUCAGUUUAGCAAGAGACGUAGAGAUCAACAGUGAUCAAGCAUGUAUACUCACUACUCGAGAUCACGGAGGUGAACUUACUUCUUGUCAAUGAAGAUGGCUAGUUGUUGUGCCUGUGUGAGACUAGUUGAGUGCUAGUGUAUAUUUAUGGACCUAUCCGACCGGCCAGAGCGCGCAUAGC
rnacentral:lncRNA from 1 species